rnacentral:siRNA from 1 species
GAAGAACGUCCUGCUGAAUAAGC